GGUGUGUAGCUCAGUGGUAGAUGCUUUCCUAGCAUGCAGGAGGCCCUGGGUUUGAUCCCCAGCACCAACCA
rnacentral:tRNA from 1 species